rnacentral:rRNA from 1 species
CAUGCAAGUCGAGGGGCAGCAUGAACUUAGCUUGCUAAGUUUGAUGGCGACCGGCGCACGGGUGAGUAACACGUAUCCAACCUGCCGAUGACUCGGGGAUAGCCUUUCGAAAGAAAGAUUAAUACCCGAUGGCAUAGUUCUUCCGCAUGGUGGAACUAUUAAAGAAUUUCGGUCAUCGAUGGGGAUGCGUUCCAUUAGGUUGUUGGCGGGGUAACGGCCCACCAAGCCUUCGAUGGAUAGGGGUUCUGAGAGGAAGGUCCCCCACAUUGGAACUGAGACACGGUCCAAACUCCUACGGGAGGCAGCAGUGAGGAAUAUUGGUCAAUGGACGAGAGUCUGAACCAGCCAAGUAGCGUGAAGGAUGACUGCCCUAUGGGUUGUAAACUUCUUUUAUACGGGAAUAAAGUGAGGCACGUGUGCCUUUUUGUAUGUACCGUAUGAAUAAGGAUCGGCUAACUCCGUGCCAGCAGCCGCGGUAAUACGGAGGAUCCGAGCGUUAUCCGGAUUUAUUGGGUUUAAAGGGAGCGUAGGCGGACGCUUAAGUCAGUUGUGAAAGUUUGCGGCUCAACCGUAAAAUUGCAGUUGAUACUGGGUGUCUUGAGUACAGUAGAGGCAGGCGGAAUUCGUGGUGUAGCGGUGAAAUGCUUAGAUAUCACGAAGAACUCCGAUUGCGAAGGCAGCCUGCUGGACUGUAACUGACGCUGAUGCUCGAAAGUGUGGGUAUCAAACAGGAUUAGAUACCCUGGUAGUCCACACAGUAAACGAUGAAUACUCGCUGUUUGCGAUAUACAGUAAGCGGCCAAGCGAAAGCGUUAAGUAUUCCACCUGGGGAGUACGCCGGCAACGGUGAAACUCAAAGGAAUUGACGGGGGCCCGCACAAGCGGAGGAACAUGUGGUUUA